UGGACGCGCCGCCAGGGUAGGCGAAUACAUUGGUCACGCCUUGCCGCUCGAGCGCCUCAACGAGGACGUCGGCGCCUUUUCUGGGCUCGUCAGGGGCAAAUCGGGAAAUUUUGGUUUCUGGGUCUGGAGGGUUAGUGGUGGUGAUGGUGGUGGUGGCGGUCUUGGAGGAGAGAGAGUUGGAGAUUUGGAGGUGGCGGAGGAAAGUGGGUUUUUGGGGAUGAGGAGAGAAGGGGAGGGUGAAUCUGGAAAUGGGGUUUGAGGAUUUGGAAGAAACAGGGAAAGGAGAGGGUUUUGAGGCGGAAGAAGGUGGAGCAAUGGCCG
rnacentral:lncRNA from 1 species